rnacentral:rRNA from 1 species
AUCGAACGCUGGCGGCAUGCUUAACACAUGCAAGUCGAGCGAGCGGCGGACGGGUGAGUAAUGUCUGGGACACUGCCUGAUGGAUGGGGUAAACUAUUGGAAACGGUAGCUAAUCCCGCAUACUAUCAGAUGUGCCCAGAUGGGAUUAGCUGGUAGGUGGGGUAAUGGGUCACCUAGGGGACGAUCCCUAGCUGGUCUGAGAGGAUGACCAGCCAAACUGGAACUGAGACACGGUCCAGACGCCUACGGGAGGCAGCGGUGGGGAAUGUUGGACAAUGGGAGCAAGCCUGAUGCAGCCAUGCCGCGUGUGUGAAGAAGGCCUUCGGGUUGUAAAGCACUUUCAGCGAGGAGGCGUUACUCGCAGAAGAAGCACCGGCUAACUCCGUGCCAGCAGCCGCGGUAAUAC